CGGGAUAGCUCAGCUGGUAAAGCAAAGGACUGAAAAUCCUCGUGUCCAGUUUAAAAAAAAACAAU
rnacentral:tRNA from 1 species